rnacentral:rRNA from 1 species
UGGGGAAUUUUGCGCAAUGGGGGAAACCCUGACGCAGCAACGCCGCGUGAGUGAUGAAGGCCUUCGGGUCGUAAAGCUCUGUCAGGGGGGAAGAAAUGCAUGGGAGCUAAUAUCUUCUAUGCUUGACGGUACCCUCAAAGGAAGCACCGGCUAACUCCGUGCCAGCAGCCGCGGUAAUACGGAGGGUGCGAGCGUUGUUCGGAAUUAUUGGGCGUAAAGCGCGUGUAGGCGGUUUGGUAAGUCUGAUGUGAAAGCCCCGGGCUCAACCUGGGAAGUGCAUUGGAAACUGUCAGACUUGAAUACGGGAGAGGGUAGUGGAAUUCCUAGUGUAGGAGUGAAAUCCGUAGAUAUUAGGAGGAACACCGGUGGCGAAGGCGGCUACCUGGACCGAUAUUGACGCUGAGACGCGAAAGCGUGGGGAGCAAACA